AAAGCCCUGCAAGUGAAAGAUGGGACAAUUAUAAAGAGCCAACACCUAUAUUAUGGGAGCUUCGCUCUGGACGUGUAUUACAAGCCUCUCCGCUUACGGCGGAUAGUGGAAGUAAAAAGCGUUUAGGCUGGUACCCACCGUGUCAAACACGGUUCUUUAUAACCCCAUCUCGUUGCAGGGACUUU
rnacentral:other from 1 species